rnacentral:rRNA from 1 species
AACGAACGCUGGCGGCGCGCCUAAUACAUGCAAGUCGAGCGAGAAGACGUAGCAAUACGUUUGUAAAGCGGCGAACGGGUGAGGAAUACAUGGGUAACCUACCCUCGAGCGGGGAAUAACUAGCCGAAAGGUUAGCUAAUACCGCGUACGCUCCUUGGACUUCGGUUCAGGGAGGAAAGCGAUACCGUGGGUAUCGCGCUCUUGGAUGGGCUCAUGUCCUAUCAGUCUUGUUGGUGAGGUAACGGCUCACCAAGGCUUCGACGGGUAGCUGGUCUGAGAGGACAAUCAGCCACACUGGCAC